GCAGUGGCGCACGGGUGAGUAACGCGUGGGAAUCUACCCUGAGGUUCGGAAUAACGGUUGGAAACGACCGCUAAUACCGGAUGUGCCCUAUGGGGCAAAGGCUUGCCGCCUUGGGAGGAGCCCGCGUCCGAUUAGCUUGUUGGUGGGGUAACGGCCUACCAAGGCGACGAUCCGUAGCUGGUCUGAGAGGAUGACCAGCCACACUGGGACUGAGACACGGCCCAGACUCC
rnacentral:rRNA from 1 species